GACGAACGCUGGCGGCGUGCUUAACACAUGCAAGUCGAACGGAAAGGCCCUGCUUUUGUGGGGUGCUCGAGUGGCGAACGGGUGAGUAAAACGUGAGUAACCUGCCCUUGACUUUGGGAUAACUUCAGGAAACUGGGGCUAAUACCGGAUAGGAGCUCCUGCUGCAUGGUGGGGGUUGGAAAGUUUCGGCGGUUGGGGAUGGACUCGCGGCUUAUCAGCUUGUUGGUGGGGUAGUGGCUUACCAAGGCUUUGACGGGUAGCCGGCCUGAGAGGGUGACCGGCCACAUUGGGACUGAGAUACGGCCCAGACUCCUACGGGAGGCAGCAGUGGGGAAUAUUGCACAAUGGGCGGAAGCCUGAUGCAGCAACGCCGCGUGCGGGAUGACGGCCUUCGGGUUGUAAACCGCUUUCGCCUGUGACGAAGCGUGAGUGACGGUAAUGGGUAAAGAAGCACCGGCUAACUACG
rnacentral:rRNA from 1 species